rnacentral:rRNA from 1 species
UACAGAGGGUGCAAGCGUUAAUCGGAAUUACUGGGCGUAAAGCGCGCGUAGGUGGUUCGUUAAGUUGGAUGUGAAAUCCCCGGGCUCAACCUGGGAACUGCAUCCAAAACUGGCGAGCUAGAGUAUGGUAGAGGGUGGUGGAAUUUCCUGUGUAGCGGUGAAAUGCGUAGAUAUAGGAAGGAACACCAGUGGCGAAGGCGGUUACCUGGAGCUUUGCUGACGCUGAUGCGCGAAAGCGUGGGGAGCGAUCCGG